rnacentral:rRNA from 1 species
GCCAGACUCCUACGGGAGGCAGCAGUGAGGAAUAUUGGUCAAUGGCCGGAAGGCUGAACCAGCCAAGCCGCGUGAAGGACGAAGGUGCCAAGCAUUGUAAACUUCUUUUGUCAAGGGACAAAAUCAGGCUCGAGAGCCUGACCGAGGGUACUUGAAGAAAAAGCAUCGGCUAACUCCGUGCCAGCAGCCGCGGUAAUACGGAGGAUGCGAGCGUUAUCCGGAUUUAUUGGGUUUAAAGGGUGCGCAGGCGGAAGAUCAAGUCAGCGGUAAAAUUGAGAGGCUCAACCUCUGCGAGCCGUUGAAACUGGUUUUCUUGAGUGAGCGAGAAGUAUGCGGAAUGCGUGGUGUAGCGGUGAAAUGCAUAGAUAUCACGCAGAACUCCGAUUGCGAAGGCAGCAUACCGGCGCCUGUCUGACGCUGAGGCACGAAAGCGUGGGUAUCGAACAGGAUUAGAUACCCGCGUAAU